AGAGUUCGAUCCUGGCUCAGGAUGAACGCUGGCGGCGCGCCUAACACAUGCAAGUCGAACGGCACCUAUCUUCGGAUAGAAGCGAGUGGCGAACGGCUGAGUAACACGUGGAGAACCUGCCCCCUCCCCCGGGAUAGCCGCCCGAAAGGACGGGUAAUACCGGAUACACCGGGGUGCCGCAUGGCACCCCGGCUAAAGCCCCGACGGGAGGGGAUGGCUCCGCGGCCCAUCAGGUAGACGGCGGGGUGACGGCCCACCGUGCCGACAACGGGUAGCCGGGUUGAGAGACCGACCGGCCAGAUUGGGACUGAGACACGGCCCAGACUCCUACGGGAGGCAGCAGUGGGGAAUCUUGCGCAAUGGGGGGAACCCUGACGCAGCGACGCCGCGUGCGGGACGGAGGCCUUCGGGUCGUAAACCGCUUUCAGCAGGGAAGAGUCAAGACUGUACCUGCAGAAGAAGCCCCGGCUAACUACGUGCCAGCAGCCGCGGUAAUACGUAGGGGGCGAGCGUUAUCCGGAUUCAUUGGGCGUAAAGCGCGCGUAGGCGGCCCGGCAGGCCGGGGGUCGAAGCGGGGGGCUCAACCCCCCGAAGCCCCCGGAACCUCCGCGGCUUGGGUCCGGUAGGGGAGGGUGGAACACCCGGUGUAGCGGUGGAAUGCGCAGAUAUCGGGUGGAACACCGGUGGCGAAGGCGGCCCUCUGGGCCGAGACCGACGCUGAGGCGCGAAAGCUGGGGGAGCGAACAGGAUUAGAUACCCUGGUAGUCCCAGCCGUAAACGAUGGACGCUAGGUGUGGGGGGACGAUCCCCCCGUGCCGCAGCCAACGCAUUAAGCGUCCCGCCU
rnacentral:rRNA from 1 species